rnacentral:rRNA from 1 species
GCGUAAUAGCUCACUAGUCGAGUGCUCUUGCGCGGAUAAUGUACCGGGGCUAAGCAUAUUACCGAAACUGUGGAUGCGUAAGCAUGGUAGGAUAGCGUAAUUAACGCGAUGAAGGAUGACCGUAAGGACAUGUUGGAGCGUUAACUAGUGAGAAUUCCGGUAUGAGUAGCGAAAGAUAGGUGAGAAUCCUAUCCACCGAAUGAGUAAGGUUUCCCCCGGAAGGCUCGUCCGCGGGGGGUUAGUCGGGACCUAAGGCGAGGCUGAAAAGCGUAGUCGAUGGACAACAGGUUGAUAUUCCUGUACCGAUAUUUAAUUGCCGAAGGAAGGACGCAGAAGGAUAACACAGGCCACUAUUGGAUGUGGUUUUAAACAGUUAGUCUUCAUAAGAGUCAAAUGCUUUUAUGUUUAAGGAUAAGCUGUGAAUGUACCAAGUUUACUUGGAAAUUGUGUGAUUUCACGCUGCUGAAAAAAGUUUCGUAGGAAGAAAAUAUUGCCCGUACCGCAAACCGACACAGGUACUCGAGUGGAGAACACUAAGGUGAGCGAGUGAACUAUUGUUAAGGAACUCUGCAAAAUGAGUCCGUAACUUCGGAAGAAGGACUGCUGGUUUUAUACCAGCCGCAGCAAAUAGGCCCAAACAACUGUUUAUCAAAAACACAGGUUUCUGCAAAAUCGUAAGAUGAAGUAUAGGGGCUGACGCCUGCCCAGUGCUGGAAGGUUAAAAGGAGGACUUAGCUUCGGCGAAGGUCUUAAUUGAAGCCCCAGUGAACGGCGGCCGUAACUAUAACGGUCCUAAGGUAGCGAAAUUCCUUGUCGGGUAAGUUCCGACCCGCAUGAAAGGCGUAAUGAUUUGGGCGCUGUCUCAACAAUAGACUCGGUGAAAUUUAAAUUCCAGUGAAGAUGCUGGGUACCCGCGACAGGACGGAAAGACCCCGUGGAGCUUUACUGUAGCUUGAUAUUGAAUGUUUGUGCUGCAUGUGCAGGAUAGGUAGGAGACUUUGAAGUCGGAACGCUAGUUUCGAUUGAGUCACCCUUGAGAUACUACCCCUGUUGUAUGAACGUUCUAACUCUGAUCAGUUAUCC